GGAGAGAUGGCUCAGCGGUAGAGCGCUUGCCUAGCAAGCGCAAGGCCCUGGGUUCGGUCCCCAGCUUCA
rnacentral:tRNA from 1 species